rnacentral:sRNA from 1 species
AUUCUGCCCAUGCGGGGAAGGAUGAGAAGCUUCGACUAAGGUUCGGCUCGAGCGUCAGCGAGAGAGCGUUGCCGCAGGCAACGACCCGAAGGGCGAAGCGC